UGGGGAAUAUUGCACAAUGGGGGAAACCCUGAUGCAGCGACGCCGCGUGAAGGAUGAAGUAUUUCGGUAUGUAAACUUCUAUCAGCAGGGAAGAAAAUGACGGUACCUGACUAAGAAGCCCCGGCUAACUACGUG
rnacentral:rRNA from 1 species